GAGGUUCCUUUGUCAACGAAUUCAACAAAGCUGUAAGCAAAGCCAAUGGAAGAAUAUGUCAGAUACUGAGUUUAUGACAGGGCCUUGCCAUUGUUCAUAUCAUAAAGCUGGUCUAUCAUGCCCAGUGCUUGGACAGAAGAAGAAGAGAGCAAUGGAGACAGCCCACCUGCUGGGUUAAAGGCUUGAGCAUUACAGCAGCACAUUCAGCUCUCAUUUUAUUAAAAAGAAUUUGGUCAAAUGACCACACUGACUGCAAGAGAGGCUAGUAAAGUAGUUUUGCUGUGCAUCCAGGAAGAGGAGCAGAAAUGAUUUUGUGCUACAGUCAUCUACAUGUAAUACACAUCAACAAACAAAAACAUGUAUGUUUCCAACAUAUAUGUUUGGAGACAGAGUCUCGCUCUGUCCCCCAGGCUGGAGUGCACUGGCACAAUCUCAGCUCACUGCAACCUUCCCCUCCCGAGUUCAAGUGAUUCUCAUGCCUCAGCCUCCCAAGUGGCUGGGACUGCAGGCACGCGCCACCACACCUGGCUAAUUUUUGUAUUUUUAGUAAAGAUAGGGUUUCGCCAUGUUGGCCAGGCUGAUCUUGAACUCCUGACCUCAAAAAACAAAACAAAGCAAAACAAAACAAAACAAAACCUCAGAACUAAUUGGAUUAGGAUCCCACCAUAAUAGGCUCAUUUUAAAUUAAUCACAUUAAUCACUUCUUUAAACACAAUUACCGUAUUUCCAAAUAGGGUUACAAUCUGGAGUACUGGCUGUUGGGACUCGAACAUAUGAAUUUUGGGGUGACACAAGUCAACUGAGUACAUUCUGUACUCUCCCUAAAAUAAAAGAAGUUUAAAAACAA
ensembl:lncRNA novel transcript